GAUUAUUUACUUCCCUGCCUCUUGACCUCCGAGUGCAGAAGUAACACAUUUUAUACAGAUGUGCGUAGACUGUCAGAUGUCUGAUUGCAAUUGGUGAAAGCUGACUAGCUAUAAACAAGCCCCAGUUUGCAAGUUGAGUUGCUUAAUUAGCAUAGUACUGGUCCUCGGCUAAUAGCUCCUAAGCUUGGGCUUAGCGCCACAGCACCGUAGCUCCCCAGCAUCCAUCCAGCUCUGCAUGCAGAGGAGUGGGCACAUCCCUCUCUGUGCCUGCCCAGCUACUUCUGUUCUUAAAUAAUCUCCUACCGGUAACGCUGAUAACAUUUUUCUGCCUUUGUCUGUUACCCUGUCACACAUUCUGCUUCGAUGCUGGACCCGGGCAAAUGGCUCGACGUUUCCCUGCUGUGGAUGGCUGCUCUCCCAGCAUGCUGCUUCGCAGCUUCUUUGUACACCUAGAUUAGCAAUGUUUUGGGUAGGAUGCGGAGGAAGGAGAUAUGCUCUGCAGUGGGGGGCAGGGAAGUAUUUUAUUUGAGGUACCAGUCAUUUAUGGGUCACAUCAUUUUUUGGAUGAAGGUGAUAAGGGAACUGCAAGUGUGGGCAAAUGGGAAUUUCAGAGAGUGUGUAAUUGGGGGUGCAGAUAGUUUCUGUGGAGAGGCAUGUGCGUAUGAAUAUAGGGAGAAAAAGACUGUUAAGGCUCUAGCAGAUGGGAGGACAGUUUUCUCCAUUUUGCCUCACAGCAUCAUCAGCAGAGACAGGCUCCUCCCAUCUGCUGGGCUCAGCAACAUAAGUCAGUGAGCCCGUGGGAGGUGGCUGCAUCAAUCCAAGGUGCUGCUUUCCCAGAGAGCAGGCACAUACACACACUCCUGCUGGUGCUGACCCAAGGACAGCAGCUACCCAGUAUAGUUUGGUUUCUGUUGGUGCUUCUUGCACCCAGCUUAAAAAUGAAGGGACUUGACUGUCAAGCAGAAGGACUCCUUGCCUUCAUUGAAAAGAAUUCAGCAUCCUAUAGGCUUUGAGCAAUAUAAAAUAGCAAAGGAAGCUCCUGGCAGUAGUUACUGGCUGGUCAGGAUACCCCAGCUGUGCUCUCCCCUUACUGGGAUAAAACGAUGGGCCCUAUAAUGCACCACGGAUCCCGACUUUUCCGCUUCAGGUCUGCCAGUUGGAGCAGCCGCUGUAUCCACAGCUCCCCACCUGAGGAAAAAGUGGGACUGGUGGAGGCAAUCAUUGGAUUCUCAGCAUUUUCACUGGCAGUUCUUGGGCCGGCUGGAUGGUUCCUGUGCCACCUUCCAAGCUAUAAAAAGAAAUAGAAAACAUCCCUUCAAAAUUAAGAUCUGAAGGCUGCAAUAAACUGUAAUACUCCUAAGUUGGACUCUCUUGAAAGGGAGAACACAGUGGCUUGAGGGCCAGUUUAAAACAAAAUGAUUGAAAAAUGAGUUCAGGUUCAUUACUUCCAUGUGAAAAAAAACAAAAGUCCUGACAGAGAAUAUAGUUAACUAAAGCCCAGGUUCACACACUAUCAUCAGCCCUGUGGGACAGGUCCCAAGUCAGAAAGCUUUUGCAGAUGUUGUAGAACUGGACCUAGAUAUAAAAUGGUGUAGCGAUGCAAAAUAGUGGUAGGUCUUCCAUCACCUUCUGCAGUCUGCGUGGACCGGUCUGAAUCUGUCAUCAGGUACUGUGGGAAAAUAAUGGAAGAUUGGCGAGAAGGAUUGUAAACAUGCCCAAGUGACUUGCAGCUGGGGUGUUGAAAAACACAUACAUUAUAUGAAUUGUUGUUUGGCCUUGUGUGUUGGACAAGCGGAACAUCUGUGUUUAGAUAACAUAUGCCUGUGAUAGACUUAGAGGCACCCUGUUGAACAUGCUUGAGAUUCCUGCCCUGCUGUGGGAAGGAAUUUGCCUGCGCAAAUAUCUGAAAUACGGGGGAGCACAGCAGGUUCAGUGAUCCUCUACCAUGGACCAAGCUCUGCGUUCCUGCUUGUGUGCCUCUGCCCGGGUGCUGCUUCAGGGAUCCCCUGGUUGGUGAGAUUUCCAGUCUACUUCAAGCAUUUCUUCCUAAAAGUAAUAUGGAUUACAUUUUACGGCGGCCUGGUUUUGGCUGGAAUAAAGUUAAUUUUCUUCCUAGUAGCUGGUAUAGUGCUGUGUUUUGGACUUAGGAUGAGAAUAAUGUUGGUAACUGUCACGAAUGAGAUUUUGUUGCACAGCUUUGGUUUAGCAAUGAUUUAGGAUUUAUUAGUAUUUUGAGAUAGAUCACAAGAUUAGGUUGUAUAAUUUUAACAGUCCUUAAUCAUCAGCCAAUUUAACAGAGUGAUUCUAUGGAAUUUGUUAUAAUAAAAUUUGCAACUUAGUUAAAGAUUUGAAAAUGGCAAGGAUCACCUGAAACUUACAGGAGGGUUGCACACACAAAUGGAGGCUAAAUCAAAUCACACACACGCGCAGACAGAUAAAACAGUUCUGAACCACACAUACAGAAAAAAUAGUUCUGAACCAAACCGCACACAGACAGGCAAAAUAGUUCUGAACCAAACUGCAAAUGCACGCACACAGAUACAACCAUUCUGAACGAAAUUUUACCCCCCUCCCCACACACAGAGGUUAACCUAUGAUUAAAAUUCCCCUUCUGUGAGUUUCAUGAAGUGCUGGCAUUCAUCAACGGAUGGUCAGUAAACCUUGUGAAAUCAGGCCUUUAAGAAGUCCUCGCGAAAUUGUCAUCCCACCUCAGGGGGAGAUGCUGGGUCACACAGCCUGCUGCGGUCCCAGAGAGCUCAGAAGGUCUCACCUCGGGUCGCUAUUUACAGAGUCUCGAGGUGAUUGGCUUCGGUCAUUAUUUUACAUUCUGGCCACCAUUCGUGCUGAGCCAUUCUGACACACAAUUCAGGCAGCAGAUGGCCCAGGGGUGGCCAGGGGUGCCUGGUGCCCAUAAGCCUCCACGCUUGCAACUAAGAUAAUGGCACAACGGGAGUUUUCCCAAAGCAUGCAUGGCUUAUCGUGAGGUCUUGGAGUGGCCCGGGGCGCUGCACCACCACAAUAACACACUGAUGUUUUAGUUGUUGCUAAGCAGUAUUUAUACUAAGUCUCAUCCUCUCAUAUUGCCCUGCCAGCGAGGAGGCUGGGGGUGCACAAGAAACAGGGAGGGGACACAGCCAGGGCAGCUGACCGAAACUGGCCAAAGGAAUAUUCCAUACCAUGUGAUGUCAUGCCCAGUAUACAAGCUGGGGAAGUUGGCUGGGGGACAGCACAGCUUGGGGAUUGGCUGGGCACCAGUCAGCGGGUGGUGAGCAAUUGUAUUAUGCAUCACUUGUUUUGUAUAUUCUAUUAUUGUUGUUGUUAUUAUUAUCAUCAUUA